rnacentral:rRNA from 1 species
GACGUAGGGCGCGAGCGUUGUCCGGAUUUAUUGGGCGUAAAGAGCUCGUAGGCGGUGUGUCGCGUCGGCCGUGAAAACCUGCAGCUUAACUGUGGGCUUGCGGUCGAUACGGGCAUCACUGGAGUUCGGCAGGGGAGACUGGAAUUCCUGGUGUAGCGGUGAAAUGCGCAGAUAUCAGGAGGAAUACCGGUGGCGAAGGCGGGUCUCUGGGCCGAUACUGACGCUGAGGAGCGAAAGCGUGGGGAGCGAACAGG